AGUAAAGAAGGCCUCACACACGCGGCCCAACCCCGCACUCCACGCUCUCUCCAUCCCCACACGCAACCUCUCCUCUUCUCGUUUCUCCUCUGCCUCACCGCCGCUGCCACUGCUUCCCCUUCACCCCUACCUCACGGAAAACGGCGGCGAUGAGGAGGGUCGGCGCUUGGCGCAUACCCGCGCCCCCGACCGUGGCAGCGUCCUCGCGGGGCCAGGCUUCCCGUCCGCGCCGCGACGCCGCCGGCAAGGAGGCCUGGGCUCGGACAGCCUCCGCGGCGUCGAGUGCGCCGGUGAGGUGUCUGGGAACCGCGUGGCGGGGAACUGGCGCUGCUUCUGGUUGUGGGUUCCGGCGACGCCAAGCCGUACAUCUGAGCCGCCGCCUCCAAUUUAUUUCCUCCAUGUUUCAGCUCCAGGUGUCACGUGUGUCCUUCAUCGGCUAUCCCUCCUUCCGGUUGUUGCCGCGUCCGCCUGCUGCGGGUCCUCCGUGUUCGUGACUGUUGUGUCGGCGUCGAAAGAAUUUCUCCUGCAGUCAGGUAUCGCUCCCAACACAGGCGUCUUUUUUUGGGGGGGUCGAUCAAGUUUUCCCUUGUUGGCUACCGAUUUCAUACGAGCGCCAUCACCAUGCUGAUUGUGCUACUGGUAGGGCUCUCAGUUGGGUUGAAUUUCAGCACAGACCCUUUUUUUUGCAAGCAAGAACCGAUGAGCCUAAUUGAAAUAGAUCGUUGGAGUAAAGCUACAUCCGUUUGGUUCCUGAAGGAAUUAAUCAGCUGGUUACACAGUAUUUAGCAUCGGCCUACGGUGCAGGAUUUGUUAGAUUUAUUUUCUGUGUAAUUUUUAUUUGUCCAGUAAGAAUCAGGUUAGUGUUGGUACCGAGAGAAAAAUAAACGACCCACAAAAAUUAAUGAUAUGGCCGUGGUGUUCCCCAGUUUGGUGCAUGCCAAGGAAGGAAGUCCUGUAUUUAGACCUGAUCUUGUAAUUAUUUUGGUGCCUGCCCAGAAUAGCAGUGUGCGCACAUGUGGUAAGUACAGUAAGCCAACUCUGGUAGCUUGCUUAGUACUGGAAAAGGAAUAAGCAGGUUGUGAGAUUCCUAACAACCCUUUUUGUGUUGAUCAAAUUGGUGAUAUGUGCUAGCUGGGUAUUAAUAAAGAUUCUCUGGUACUUUUUUGUGUGAAGUCUGUGUUUCUCAGUGUCGUUGCCUCGUGUGUUUCCGGUCUCUUCUGCUUUAUGAAUGAGAUGGCUGUCAUCUCCCAUUCACGUUGGCCACUUGGUCAUGUGCGACUGUAUAGGUGGUUGUUGGUGUGAUGUUGUUCGUUGGUUUGUUGUUGAUGUUAAUCUGCUUAUAGCCUGUUUGUUGUUAUGUCGUGGCAAGAUGUGCUCUCGAUGUCAUGUUUUAUUUUGAUUUUUUGUGGUUCUAGCCGGUGCUUAAUUUUUGUCCACAUAUUUAUGGCUAAAGUCCAUGCAUACAUACUCAUGGAUUUGAUUUUGUGCUAUGGCCCUUGUGAACAAUCAAGCUAUCAGGUGAGAAUCGAUUCGUGGCUCUUUCUUUUUUUGAACUGCUCAUUAUGUGGUUCCUCGGACUCACACUCUGUUCCCUUUCUUUUUGUACCUCCUAUUUAUGGGCUCACUUUUGUUCGUGAGUCGAUCAAGGACCAGAUGGGUGUCUUGUGCUCAUCUCCGGAUACGGAUCUGUAUCCUUCUCUGUACAUGUCCUGCUUCCAAGGAUUGUUCUUCUGCUCACAGGUUGCAUUCCUGUUGCUUCACAAUGUUUGUAUUUACCAUAUUACUCCUCAAUGCCAUGAGUUGGGAGCAGCUCCAAUUCCAUCAGAUGUACAUGAGCUAUAUGUUGAUAAGCUCGCGUAUCAGUUGGCGGAUGUUCUUGAUUUCUUCAGUUUAGGGUCUGUGAUGUGCAUGGGUGUCACCGCCGGUGCCUAUAUGCUUAUCUUCUUUGCAACAAAGUAGAGGGAAGGGUUCUUGGUCUGGUGUUGGUUUCACCUCUAUGCAAAGCCCCAUCUUGGAGUGAGUGGUUGUAUAAUAAAGUAAUAAUUGACACUUCAGUUUCAGCCAUGAAUUGUCAGUGCCUUAUUUCUUUGUGUAUACUGGCACUCUGGCAGUACAUUGUAUUCCAUUUUAACCUCAAAUACAAUGUCCAGUUAGGCAAUUACUAACUCCUAUUUAUAUAUAUUGUUUGAUUGUUUGAUGGAUUAAUCUUGGUCUGAGAUGUAGUUGUGAAGUUAUUCAUUUUCUUGGGAUGCAAUUUCUUUUGCUAAUAUGGGUUAAGCCUUGGUGGAGGUAGCAGUUGUUUGCAGAUUUGCACACCACAUGUUUGGCUUAAUAUCUUACUCAAGGUGGUUGCGAAUCUUGGGCUCUGUGUGUCAGUCUAUGGCAUCCUUGCCGUGGAUUCAUCUUUCCAGGAUAGGGCUGCUCGACGUAUAAAUAUAUGCUCUGUACAAGAUCAAUGCCUAAAAGGGUGUCUGCAUCGCAGUUGAGUUGGAUACUUGAAGCUCGAAAGUUAGGGUGCCGACGCAUCGGUGCCAGCCGCAGGGUUGUGACCUACGGGCGGCAGCUCAGGGGCAUGCCUUGCUAGGUGCUCGCCUUUUCCUACAUCUCUGUAGGAACACGUCAGGCAGGAGCUCAGCCCCACAUCCUUGCUCAAGGUUUGUCCUCAUUCCUACUUGGAAUUAAUGAUAAUAUAACAUGGGAACUGAGGAACGUUAGAGCAGCACAAAUCUUCAUAAAGAAAAACCUUAAUUUAGGCAUGGAUAUUGAUCUGCAAAUUUGAGGUAGAAAAAUAUUUAUUUUCUAGGUACUAACUCGCAAGUGUUCUACAAAUUCAGUGAAUAAAAAAAUGUAGUUCAAACAUGAGAUCGUAGUAUCGUACUGACAGACACCCCUAAUUAUAUUGAACGAAAUGGCAUUUUUUUGUGGGCAGGUAAAAGAGCAGCCCUAUUUUUGGUAAAGCUUGCUUGCCUUUCAGUAUUUUUGGUUACAUUGUGUGCUUCCAGUUCCUCUGUUUUGCUCUGAUUCGUUGAUCUUCUGUACUGCCUCUGUAUCAAAAUAUAAGACGUUCUGUAUCGCCCCUCGGUGCCAGCAUGAAGGCAAGGCAACCCUGGCUAAUAUGCAUCUGGAUGGCCUUCCCCCUUAUACUUCGAUUCACUAUGGGUAGUGUUCCAUCCAUUGUCUCUAUCCAUUGUCUCUCUUUCGUUCUUUCUCUGAGAAAUCUUAAUUUCUAGACUGCAAGUUAGAAUGUGCGAAACUGACUGUUUCCCUUGCUGGUUAGGGUUCUCAUUACUAACCUGCAUUUCUUAGUUUAGUUGUAAUUUUAUCAAUAACUCAUUGUUCUUACUCUGUGAUUUGAAGUGUAACAUUGCCUUUUUACUUCUAAUUUCUUGCUGACAUUGGAGUCUGGGGUUGUACUGUCUGUUUGCUUCAUAAAAAGUUAAUAUUGAAAGGUUGUUCAUGGUUAUAUGUA